rnacentral:rRNA from 1 species
AAUCAACGCUGGCGGCGUGCCUCAGACAUGCAAGUCGAACGAUUAAAGCUCUCUUCGGAGAGUGCAUAGAGUGGCGCACGGGUGAGUAACACGUAAGUAAUCUACCUCUGAGUGGGGGAAUACCAUCGGGAAACCGAUGCUAAUACCGCAUAAUGCAACAGCAUCGCAAGGUGCAGUUGUUAAAGAUUUAUCGCUUGGAGAGGAGCUUGCGGCAGAUUAGCUAGUUGGUAAGGUAAUGGCUUACCAAGGCUACGAUCUGUAACCGGUCUAAGAGGACGGUCGGUCACACUGACACUGAAUAACGGGUCAGACUCCUACGGGAGGCAGCAGUCGGGAAUUUUGGGUC